UAUCUUAUCUAAGAAAAAUAGACAAUAUGCAGUGAGCGUUAAUCCCAUGUACCAGCUCGUGGAUAAAGAAAUCAUUGCAUUGUGGUUUCUGGGCAUCAAACCUCAGAAAAUGUUUGCCAGCCCCUGCUAUGAAAAACAGAAGCAAUAGAAAGAUUUAUUGGUCAGGGAAUUAGGAGUUCUGAAUUCUACUAAAUAGCAGUGGGUCUAAGUAAAUCCUGCUCUCCUGUAAUCUUAAUGAAGAUGCUACAGUAAGCCCAGCCGGAGACUCCAAGUCCUGAACCCAGGCACUGGAAUAGGCUGUGUCAUCCCAACCAGGGGCUCAUCUGCUCGGUCAGAUACCGACUCUUCACUCUCAUUUUUGAAGGACUUGUCGGGGGAUACAGAAUUCCAGGUGGAAGCUUCUCACUGGUGGUCUGCUAAGUACAACCUGAAUGCCUGCAUGCAUGAACCCAUCUCUCCACCUCUGCUGGGAUCAGAUGCACCAUCAAACAGUUCCUAAUCAUCUGGAAACCAGGAGAGAAAUCACUCCUUGAGAGCACCUGCUGUUUUCCCCACACAUUUGUGUUAAGUACAUGUUCAUCAUCUGUGCACCUGUGACACCUACUCCUGCUUCCUUGUCCUGAGUCUUAUUCAGCCAUUAUGAAAAAUUAUCAAUUAGUCCCUCAAGGGGUGCUGACAUAGUCUGAAGAGGAAAGCCUCUAUGAAAGAAAACUGCCCAGAGGAAGAGAAGACAAGUGAAUUUGAAUUAACCAGACAAUAGCAGAGGUAGACAGAAGAAGUUCAAGGUUUGGAAGUCUUUACAAAAUCAAAGUAGACUAUUUCUAAUGAAUAAUUUUAUCUAGUGUU